GUCAUUGCCUUUAUAGCGUGGAAUGUCCAAAGAUUCAGGAGACAGUGUGAUUCCGUGUACAUGUUUCGUUUCACUAUCCUCCUCUCUCAUUCGCUUGCAGUUUUUCUUGUGAUACUUCCAGUCUAACUUUUGGUGUUCUUUCGAACAAUACCAGGUCCUUCUGCAUCCAGAGCAUACCAUAAGCCGCUCGGAGGAGCUGCAUAGCUGACACGCCAUGGAGAUGUUCGGUCUGUCACGUACGCUCUUUACCUCAGCCAUGUUUACAUUUAUGCGGAGUUCCUCAUGGCUUUACCUUGACAGUUGUGCUUUGAAUAUUUAACUAAACAGCGCGGCGGACGUGAUGAUUUCGGCAUAUUGAUUCCGCUGACUGAAGUGUCUCCUCUUAAACAAUUGCUAUAGGGAAGAAUGAAGUCUAAUCUCAAGGUAGCUUUUAAACGGUGACAAUUGACAUCAAGACAUGCGAGGCAUGUUCCGAUGGAAAGCAAAAUAAAUAUAAAAGUGGAACUGAUAAUGAUACAAGUCAUUCCGGAAUGCCGGAACUGAAAUGUCAAGUACUUCAAUCGUCAAAUAGUCACGUCAGCCACAUUGUGCUUUAUUUGAAAACUAGGUUUAAAUUAGUGGCGUGCAUAUGUACUUACUGCAAAUGUGUUGUUUACAAUAAACAUUCUAUUUAAAAACGUUAUAUUCGAAUAUUGAUUGCUAUGACUACGGGAAUAAAGAUCCCCGCCCAAUACACGCUGUUGUUCUAAUUCUAAUUCUUAUCAAUUUAAAGUGCACCUGUCCACGUGCGAAAUACAUUUGCAAUCACGCGAAUGCACCCUCGUGUAAUGCCUGCACGUGUUUUUGAGAAAAAUGUCUCGGUAAUCGCCAAUUUUUUUUCUCAAGUUUAGUACAGCUGAGCCAUUCUAGCAAAUGUAAUGAGUUAAUAAUUAUAAUAAUAUGUCAAUUUGUGUUAUAAACUCGUGUAUAUUUUAUUGUAUGUUGAAUAUCGAAUAUUGUCACAAUAAAUGCCCUGUCUGGUUGAUCCGUCCCGUUGUUAGUCCGACCUUUUCACUCCAAGUUUUUGCUGUGCAUAUUUAGGACAUAUAAUACUUUGCAAACUGGAUCAACACCUAUAGUUCAGAAACCUGAAGAUAUGUGUACUCAAAACCAGUGUCCAAAGUCAUAGUUAGAUCCAUCAAUUUCUGUUACUGGAUGAGAAAUCUAUUUUAAAGGCGGGGAUACAAACCUACAAAAGAAUUUAGACAGAGGUUUCGACCACUGAUUGAAAUUGUUUUAAAAGUUUGUUUGUGGUUACAGAGCCUAAUGAAGUAUCUUUGGGGGGGGGGGGUUCCUUUAUAUAAUUCACUAAAAUGAUGUAUAUUUCAUUAUUGAUCUCAUGGUCAUCUAAUAGUAUCAUGUAUAAAAGGCCUACUUAUAAUAUAUAAUAUUCAAAAGUAAAUGUGUUAAAAUAUUGUACAUCAGAAAUGUAAUUUAUCAAUGUCCAAAGGUUAAUAUAAUAUUAAUUUGAAAUCAUGCAUGUAUAAAGUUACAAUUGUAUAAAUUUAUAAACUUAUAAACCUAGACUUAUAGGUCCAAGGGGCCGGGUGCAAAUUACGAUUAUUUGACAUGUACUAUGUAUAAUAUAAAUGUCAUGCACCAUGUCACUAUAAUAAACAAUUACUUAUUU
rnacentral:sRNA from 1 species